CAAUAGCGUAUAUUAAAGUUGUUGCGGUUAAAAAGUUCGUAGUUGGAUUUCUGCCAAGGACGACCGGUCCGCCCUCUGGGUGAGUAUCUGGCUUGGCCUGGGCAUCUUCUUGGAGAACGUUGCUGCGCUUCACUGCGUGGUGCGGUAUCCAGGACUUUUACUUUGAGGAAAUUAGAGUGUUUCAAGCAGGCUUCCGCCUUGAAUACAUUAGCAUGGAAUAAUAAGAUAGGACCUCGGUUCUAUUUUGUUGGUUUCUAGAGCUGGGGUAAUGAUUAAUAGGGAUAGUUGGGGGCAUUCGUAUUUAACUGUCGGAGGUGAAAUUCUUGGAUUUGUUAAAGACGGACUACUGCGAAAGCAUUUGCCAAGGAUGUUUUCAUUGA
rnacentral:rRNA from 1 species